CGUUCUCGGGCCUUGUACACACCGCCCGUCACAACAUGGGAGUUCUUUGUACCCAAAGCUAUUUUAGCCAACCCGUAAGGGGGGCGAAUAAUUAAGGUAUGGGGGAUGACUGGGUUG
rnacentral:rRNA from 1 species